CCUUUGAUAGCUCAGUUGGUAUAGCGGAGGACUGUAGAUCCUUAGGUCGCUGGUUCAAAUCCGGCUCUUAGGA